rnacentral:misc_RNA from 1 species
UUUAGACACUCAACUAAACUACAAGAAUUUAUGUACAUAAAUAUUCUCAAAAGUGCAUUUGAAAAGAGACUUAAAAAAUUUCAAAGCACAACAUACCCAUUAUCUAGAUUCUAGAUCUUCAUUCAUUCAGUGUGUCUGUUCUUCCCUUUUAUUGCAAGCACAAUCAGUUCUCCCAUCAACCAAUUUUCGCGCUUCACGUCCAUGCCUAACAAUGGUUUCUCAGAUAGGCGACUUCAAAACCCCCCGAAAAUUUGACAAUGGAGCUUGAAAAGAAUGGCAAAAAAAAUUUUGG